AGUGAACGCUGGCGGUAGGCCUAACACAUGCAAGUCGAACGGCAGCACAGUAAGAGCUUGCUCUUACGGGUGGCGAGUGGCGGACGGGUGAGGAAUACAUCGGAAUCUACUUUUUCGUGGGGGAUAACGUAGGGAAACUUACGCUAAUACCGCAUACGACCUACGGGUGAAAGCAGGGGAUCUUCGGACCUUGCGCGAUUGAAUGAGCCGAUGUCGGAUUAGCUAGUUGGCGGGGUAAAGGCCCACCAAGGCGACGAUCCGUAGCUGGUCUGAGAGGAUGACCGGCCACACGGGAACUGAGACACGGCCCAGCCCCUUACGGAAGGCAGCAGUGGGGAAUAUUGACCAAGGGGCGCAACCCUGACCCACCCAUACCGCGUGGGUGAAGAAGGCCUUCGGGUUGAAAAGCCCUUUUGUUGGGAAAGAAAGGCAGCAGGUUAAUCCCCGCUGUUCUGACGGUACCCAAAGAAUAAGCACCGGCUAACUUCGUG
rnacentral:rRNA from 1 species